rnacentral:rRNA from 1 species
UACGAAGGGGGCUAGCGUUGCUCGGAAUUACUGGGCGUAAAGGGCGCGUAGGCGGCCUUCUAAGUCGAACGUGAAAUCCCUGGGCUCAACCCAGGAACUGCGUCCGAUACUGGGAGGCUUGAAUCCGGGAGAGGGAUGUGGAAUUCCAGGUGUAGCGGUGAAAUGCGUAGAUAUCUGGAGGAACACCGGUGGCGAAGGCGGCAUCCUGGACCGGUAUUGACGCUGAUGCGCGAAAGCCAGGGGAGCAAACGGG